GAUGAACGCUGGCGGUGCGCCUAAUACAUGCAAGUCGAGCGAGACGCAGUUGGAUUUAUUCAAUUGCUGACAGCGGCGGACGAGUGAGUAACACGUAAGAACCUGCCCUUUACUCAGGGAUAACUCAUCGAAAGAUGGGCUAAUACCGGAUAUUCUCUUCGGAGGAAAGCUCAGGCGGUAAAGGAGGGUCUUGCGGCCUAUCAGCUUGUUGGUGAGGUAACUGCUCACCAAGGCUAUGACGGGUAGCUGGUCUGAGAGGACGAUCAGCCACGAUGGAACUGAGACACGGUCCAUACUCCUACGGGAGGCAGCAGUAAGGAAUCUUCCGCAAUGGGCGAAAGCCUGACGGAGCGACACCGCGUGGAGGAUGACGGCCUUAGGGUUGUAAACUCCUUUUAUGAGGGAAGAAGAUCUGACGGUACCUCAUGAAUAAGCCCCGGCUAAUUACG
rnacentral:rRNA from 1 species